GCCAGAACCAGCUGGGUCAGCUCCAAAAAGGGCAAGUGUCCGGCAGAGAGGGCAGGAUCUGAGCCUGCAGGGUUCGUGGGUCAUGACAGGUCACCCUGAUGGCAGCACGAAGAAAUCAGACUGAGAGACAGUUUGGGAGUAGAGAGAAACAGCAAGAUCAGUCAGUGGACCAUUGCGGGAGACAGGAGGGAGCUGAUGUCAGCCCAGAUCCAGGAGCAGUGGAGAGGGAGAGAGAAGAGGCUCAAUUUCAGAGAUGCUUCCAAGCAUUUAUACAGAGGGAAGAGAAGGGCUGCCAGCCAAGGAGAUGGACAGGAAGCUAUCCAUGGGAG